rnacentral:rRNA from 1 species
UACGUAGGGUGCAAGCGUUUGUCCGGAAUUGUUGGGCGUAAAGAGCUCGUAGGCGGUUUGUCGCGUCAUGCUGUGAAACUCGGGCUUAACCCGGGCCUCGCAGUGGUGACGGGCAGACUAGAUGUGCGGUAGGGGAGACUGGAAUUCCUGGUGUAGCGGUGAAUGCGCAGGAUAAUCAGGAGGAACACCGGUGGCGAAGGCGGGUCUCUGGGCCGUAACUGACGCUGAGGAGCGAAAGCGUGGGGAGCGAACAGG